rnacentral:lncRNA from 1 species
ACGGCAGGCGGGAAGUGCUCUAGCAGGGGAGUCUGACCUUGUGAGGGAAUACCUGUGUCCCCCCUUUUUUCCCCUUUUUACCCAAUAAAACCCUGCCUUACUCACCCUUUAAAUCAUCUGCGAGCCUGAAUUUUCAUGGCCGUGGGACGGACAAGAACUUUAUCUUCAGCUGAACUAAGAAAAAGUCCUGCAACAUUUUUGGCGCGCAAUGUGGGGGCACCAGAAGCGGGCACCGUUGAGCUGUUGCAACUGUUCUGCUGGUGGAAAUGUAAAUCAGUCCAUGUUACUCACCUCGGAGAAGCAGAAGUACGAUUUACUAUUGUUGCUUGCUUACUUACUCUUAUCAAUUUCUAUGAGAGAAAGAGACCUCAAGUAAACCUCCAGCAGCCAUCUGGACUUCCAUGAAAACAGAACAAUCAGUGAGAUGCAGAGCUUGGAGGAGACAGUUUCCAUAGACUGAAGCACGUGCUGAAGCAAAGUUCACACUUGCAGGAUUAGAAGAGGUUGACCGAAAGAAGGAAGGACAUGGACAGCUAUGUUGUUGUGGAGUCCUGUUUUAUAGUCAUAACCUUGAGUCAAGUGAGUUUGUCUGGACAGACAGAGCUUGUUGCCUUUACUUAUAGGGAAGGCACCGGACACAGACAGCCUCAAGGACAUUUGUUCUAGCCUUUCAGUAUCCUUUCUCUUAAUUAUCUCACCUCAUCCAUGAAGCUGGUAUGUACGAUUUUUCCUUUCUUUCUCAAUCCUUUAAAAAAUUAAAGCUCUAAAUCUCAUUUCCACUUAGAUUUUAAUGUUGCAUUGUAACUUAAGAUAAAACCUUGCUCUGAUGUUAAAAAUACUAAAGUAAGAAGCAAUAUGGCAUAGUGCUUAUGAGCAGGACUACAUAGUUCUUUCUGAAUACAAAUCUCAGAUAAAACACUAUCUCAGUGAUCAACCAGGUUAAGCAACCUUUUUAGUGCCUCAAUUAUUCCAUUUGUAAAAUUGUAAUAAUGAUAGUACUAACCUAUAAGAUUGUGGUGAGGAUUAAGUCAGAUAAUACAAAAGAAGCAUUUAGAGUAUUUCCUGGCAUUAUCUACCAUUUAUUGAAUUUUUAUGGUUAAGAAGAAUAAGGAAAAGCAGAAGAAAAGGAAAAGAGAAAAAAUACAUAAGAAGAAGGAAGAGUGGUAAGCUCUAGUAAAUUACAACAAACGGUAACGUAGAAAACAUUUGUUAGCCCUUAAUAUAGGCCAGGCACUGUGUUCAAUGCUUAAACCUCAUUACUGUUCUUUGAAGUGGAUAACAUUAUUCCUUCCAUUUUAAAGAAAGGAAUACUAAAGACAACUUUGUCAAUAUUAUUCAUGUAAUAAAUGACAGAAUUUGACCAAGACAAUAGAGAAUGAACUCUUAAUCACUAUAUUGUUUUAUUUUUUGAAAAUAGAUUUUAAGUUCUUAUUAAAUGUUAAUGACUCACAUCAAAAUAAAGCCAAUCAAAA